rnacentral:rRNA from 1 species
GAUGAACGCUGGCGGCGUGCCUAAUACAUGCAAGUCGAGCGAACAGACGAGGAGCUUGCUCCUCUGACGUUAGCGGCGGACGGGUGAGUAACACGUGGAUAACCUACCUAUAAGACUGGGAUAACUUCGGGAAACCGGAGCCAAUACCGGAUAAUAUAUUGAACCGCAUGGUUCAAUAGUGAAAGACGGUUUUGCUGUCACUUAUAGAUGGAUCCGCGCCGCAUUAGCUAGUUGGUAAGGUAACGGCUUACCAAGGCAACGAUGCGUAGCCGACCUGAGAGGGUGAUCGGCCACACUGGAACUGAGACACGGUCCAGACUCCUACGGGAGGCAGCAGUAGGGAAUCUUCCGCAAAGGGCGAAAGCUUGACGGAGCAACGCCGCGUGAGUGAUGAAGGUCUUCGGAUCGUAAAACUCUGUUAUUAGGGAAGAACAAAUGUGUAAGUAACUAUGCACGUCUUGACGGUACCUAAUCAGAAAGCCACGGCUAACUACGUG